rnacentral:SRP_RNA from 1 species
GACCGGAGGCAAUGAUGGACUUACGAAUUGUGUCAGGUUCGGAAGAAAGCAGCACUAAGUAUGUUUCGUCAUGUGCCUUUUUUAUAU